CACGUAGGGGGCGAGCGUUGUCCGGAAUUAUUGGGCGUAAAGAGCUCGUAGGCGGUGUGUCGCGUCGGCCGUGAAAACCUGCAGCUUAACUGUGGGCGUGCGGUCGAUACGGGCAUCACUGGAGUUCGGCAGGGGAGACUGGAAUUCCUGGUGUAGCGGUGAAAUGCGCAGAUAUCAGGAGGAACACCGGUGGCGAAGGCGGGUCUCUGGGCCGAUACUGACGCUGAGGAGCGAAAGCGUGGGGGGCGAACAGG
rnacentral:rRNA from 1 species